AGUGAACGCUGGCGGUAGGCCUAACACAUGCAAGUCGAACGGCAGCACAGUAAGAGCUUGCUCUUACGGGUGGCGAGUGGCGGACGGGUGAGGAAUACAUCGGACUCUACUUUUUCGUGGGGGAUAACGUAGGGAAACUUACGCUAAUACCGCAUACGACCUACGGGUGAAAGCAGGGGAUCUUCGGACCUUGCGCGAUUGAAUGAGCCGAUGUCGGAUUAGCUGGUUGGCGGGGUAAAGGCCCACCAAGGCGACGCUCCGUAGCUGGUCUGAGAGGAUGAUGAGCACAACUGGAACUGAGAAACGGUCCAGACUCCUACGGGAGGCAGAAGUGGGGAAUAUUGGACAAUGGGCGAAAGCCUGAUCAAGCCAUACCGCGUGGGUGAAGAAGGCCUUCGGGUUGUAAAGCCCUUUUGUUGGGAAAGAAAAGCAGCAGGUUAAUACCCCGCUGUUCUGACGGUACCCAAAGAAUAAGCACCGGCUAACUUCGUG
rnacentral:rRNA from 1 species